rnacentral:rRNA from 1 species
UCGAGCGGAUGAGUGGAGCUUGCUCCAUGAUUCAGCGGCGGACGGGUGAGUAAUGCCUAGGAAUCUGCCUGGUAGUGGGGGACAACGUUUCGAAAGGAACGCUAAUACCGCAUACGUCCUACGGGAGAAUGCAGGGGACCUUCGGGCCUUGCGCUAUCAGAUGAGCCUAGGUCGGAUUAGCUAGUUGGUGAGGUAAAGGCUCACCAAGGCGACGAUCCGUAACUGGUCUGAGAGGAUGAUCAGUCACACUGGAACUGAGACACGGUCCAGACUCCUACGGGAGGCAGCAGUGGGGAAUAUUGGACAAUGGGCGAAAGCCUGAUCCAGCCAUGCCGCGUGUGUGAAGAAGGUCUUCGGAUUGUAAAGCACUUUAAGUUGGGAGGAAGGGCAGUAAGUUAAUACCUUGCUGUUUUGACGUUACCGACAGAAUAAGCACCGGCUAACUUCGUGCCAGCAGCCGCGGUAAUACGAAGGGUGCAAGCGUUAAUCGGAAUUACUGGGCGUAAAGCGCGCGUAGGUGGUUCAGCAAGUUGGAUGUGAAAGCCCCGGGCUCAACCUGGGAACUGCAUCCAAAACUACUGAGCUAGAGUACGGUAGAGGGUGGUGGAAUUUCCUGUGUAGCGGUGAAAUGCGUAGAUAUAGGAAGGAACACCAGUGGCGAAGGCGACCACCUGGACUGAUACUGACACUGAGGUGCGAAAGCGUGNGGAGCAAACAGGAUUAGAUACCCUGGUAGUCCACGCCGUAAACGAUGUCGACUAGCCGUUGGGAUCCUUGAGAUCUUAGUGGCGAAGCUAACGCGAUAAGUCGACCGCCUGGGGAGUACGGCCGCAANGUUAAAACUCAAAUGAAUUGACNGGGGCCCGCACAAGCGGUGGANCAUGUGG